UUAUCUUACCUGUGUUCCUAACCUUUUUUCCUCCUUCCAAAAAGCACCACAAGAAAAAGAAACGGGCCAAACGAAAGGAGAGAGAGGAAAUUGAAUGCAUAGAAAUCCAAGAGAACCCUGAUCACGUCACCACAGUCUGAGGGUGGAGACUUUUUCUUUUCCAGUAUUGCACAAUGAUGCAGGGCUAGUAAGGCUCAGACCUCAGCUGCUUGGGCUGGCCAGGGGUAAAAAGGCAGGUCAGAUCAAGAGUGCAUUUUUCAUGACGCAUCCAAGGGUCUGCUUCUUUUGAUGGAAGAGAUAAUAAAAGGAGGUGAAGUUCUUUACAACCUUGUGCUCCAUGAGAGAUAAUUCUCCAGACAUUGAUCUUAGAGCUUUUCUGAGAAAUGGAUGGAUUGGUGUGGUCAGAUGGAAGGCCGAAAGAUCUAAAGAUUCUUAGAAGAAAUGGAGAAGAGAGAAUAGGUGGUCUCCAGAUAGGGGAAAGUACAAAAAGAAAUGUCUAAUUUGUCAUGUCACUUCAUGUUUUCAUGAACAGAUCAAUCAAAGGAAACCUAUGCACAUGGGAAGUACACAUUUAAUCCUGUAUAAACCAAAGGACCGGACCUCCCAAUCCACUUUGUGUGUACAUAUAAGUAUACAUAUACAUAAUAUGUCUUGAGUGUGUGUUGGUGGUUGGAUGAAAGAAGAUGUUCAUUUGCAGAUAGGCUGGCCUUUCUCAAAAAGUCAAAUCAACAUUAGUCAAAUAUAUAACCUCAUUAGGGAUGAUACAAAAUAUAUAAUUGGUCACUUGAAAUCAACUCAACUGUCUAAAUAGCAAGAGAAUUAUCAACUGUGUGAUAACAAGAUAGACAGAAAUUUGAAUCCAUUAAAUUCUACCUAUCAUGUUGUUGGUCACUGAGAUCCUACGUUUGGGAUGACUUCACCAAAACUCCAAAAGGUAUUUGAGUUAAUUAGCAUGUGAACAAACGUUUAGAAUCUAAAGUAGUUGAGAUAGCUUGUCAUUAGCUUUUAACAUUUCUGUGUAUUUGGAAGGCCAGCAUGGCUACUUUUGGAUAUCUCAUCCACCUGAAAAAAAUGAGCCCUUUAAGCACAUUGUUUUUGCAUGCAUAUGUAAGGGUACACAGUGUAAGUGAGAGAUGGAAAGAAAUGAUGAGAUACCAUUUCGUAGUUAAGAGCUCUUAAGUUAAAUGGUGAAAAUACACUGUUGUGGCACAGGUGGCAAUUAACACAGGAAAAAGAAAAUGUCUGGAAAAUGUAGCGAGUAAAAUGAGCCAUCUACCAUUCACCAUCUCGGCAUCAAACAGCCUGUUGUUUAAGAAAAACUUGCCAACUCUACAGACUCUAAUGUGUUCCUUGGAAUAAGUCUGGGAGCAUUAACCAAGACCAUGAUCACUAUGAUGGUGGUCACCAUAACCCCUGCAGCAUCAUUUUGUAGCUUCUUGGAGUAUCAUUGUCUUCAUUAACUAGAAAGUAAUCUCCUAUGGCAAGCACAGCUCUCUACUGGUGCCAUAUUAACUGUGUGUAAUUGCACCUGGAGUCCUUACAUUAAAAAAAGAAAGAAAGAAAGAAAAAGUAUUGAGGUAAAUGUUUUGGGUUUUUUUGGUUUUGUUUGUUUGUUCGUUUGUUUGUUUGAGUUAGUGUUGAAAACUAUGCCCCAGGCAAGUACUCAGUCUGCUGGGUGCGUUCAAGGACUAAGGCUGCUAUUCAUGUUGGAGAACCUUACUAGAAAAUUCCUUUUCCAUGCCAAAUAAGGAACCUAAGGGAUGAUUCAUUUCUGGGUAAAAUAAAACAAAUGCCUAAUGAUUACACAUCCUGCUAAGAAGCUCUUUUUCCUGAGGAACAUUUACAUUUCCUACCAAUUUGGGUUGUAGAAUUUAAAUGCAUUAACAAUACUAUUGGCUUUAAAAAACAAAACACAACUAAAACUCUUAGAAAAUUCCAUUCCUUUUAAGUUUUAGGAAAUAAUGCUGAUAGACAGUACUGCUCUUCUAAAUGAUGCAAAUUUUUAAAUGGACAUCAUUUAAAUGAAACUUCAGUUUAUUGAAUGACAUUUGUUCUAUUCUACUUUAAAACUGCUGUGUUUCAAUGUCUCCCCUGAUGUGGAUACAAUAGCUAUAGAAUUAAGGAGGGACCAUAACUUCCCAUAACCGCACUUGAUAUUUUCACUGUAUCUGUAAAGCCAUGUCACAGGUAACGCCAGCCUUUCAUUGCAAGAACUUUUGUCCUAGGGGGAACAGACAUUUGGACAGUUGACCUCCAGGCCAUGAUCUCAUAUUUGAAGUCGAAUUUUCUAAGCAGUUUUUGCAGUUGGAGAACAGAAUUCCUCUUUCAAAGUUACUCAUCGUUUAUGAAAAUUUCUAUCACUCCCACCUGCUUGUAAAGACAGCCACUAAGAAGCUGAGGAUUCCAUAUCACUUCAUAUCUGUCCAUAUUCAGUGAAACUCCAUUGUUUCACCAAUUGUUUAUUUAAAGAUAACUUACUUGUGUUUUAUAAUUGCCAUACCAUUUCAGAUACAAAAAAAAAAAAAAAAAAAACCCAACAACAACAAAAAGAUUGACAAGCUAAUUGGCAAGCUUGCAAACUGCCAAAUACAUGGAAGUACCGCUGCAUAUUAUGCCAAAGCACCAGUUUCAGUCUCUCUCAAAGCACUUGGAUGGGGAAAGACUUGUUUAUAUAUUAAGUAUUGUCUUCAAGGAUCAGACGUGUAGGACAAACAAGAAUUUCUCAUUGUCCAAGUGUCUAGAGAGGUGGCAUUUUAGAAGAGAUGUUAACUUCUCCAGAACACGUGAUUCUCUCCAAGGAUAUGUAGCAAUAAUUUACUGAAAUGAAACUCCGUGUUCUGGAAGAGUUAAUAGGGUGCCCAAAAUUCCUUGUCUUGGUCUUAGGAAGUAAUGUAAGCCCAGAAGAACCUCGCAAAGCAUCCGGCAAACCUUCCAACCUCACACUGAAGCAGAUAUUUCCAAGAUUUCCUUCACUGAGUACCAAGUAUUAAAAUAUUAGAUCAUGAUUUGCAGGUAAACCUCCAAACUCAACCUUUUCUGAUUAUUGGUAUGCUCCAUCCUAGAUUUUCAAGUUUUUGCUUGCUUUAUCCAUUGUGAAGUGCUGAUGGCAUUCAAGUUAGGACGUUAUCGUCUAUCAAACAGAGGGGCCUUUCAAACCCUAGAAGAAAACAGUGGUGAAUCUUUUAGAACUGUGGAGUAUUUUAUAUACUGUAGUGUGUUUUCCCCUUGAUAGAAGAGAUUUUUAAAAACUUGUGAACCCCAUACUUUUUCUUGUUUAAAUUGGACUGUGUUCCCCCCCCCCACAGAAUGUGAAACAGAAAAUAUCAUUUUAUGUCCCAAUCUCCCCAAGGAGGAACUCACCUAAAUUAUCAGUCAAGAUUUGUCUAAAGGUUUCGUGGGCUGACCUACAUCAUGUGGAAGUCUGUUGAAAGAAUAUAUAGCUACAUGUUUUCUGGUGGGUUCUUGCAGUGACCAUGAACCUCUUUGAAGGCUGAGCAUGAGUACUCUAUGACAGAGCUAUUCUCAACUAAGUUUGUAUCUCAUAAAUGUCUUUCUUCCAAUUUAUUUCCAAUUGUUUUCCACAGAAAUGAACUUACAUGUUUUAUUUUGUAUUGUGAAAGAAAGAAGUGUGAUACCCGUAGCUUCUACGAUGCUAUAAUAGCCAUUCUUGUAUGUUGAUCUUGAGUGUAAGAGCUAUGUCCAUUCUGUAAUUAUCCAUUGCACUUUACCAUAACAAGCUAAUCCUUCUAGGCUUGCGAUUCGAGCUGGGGAUUAAUUAUUGCCAUUCAGAAUUGUGUGUAUUUUUAUAUGUUGACUGUAAAUAUUGUUAUUACAGUCAAAUAUUUUUAUGACCAAAUAUUUAUAAAUGCAUGGCACAAUGCACGCAUGAUUACUAGUAUGUAGAUGAUUAAAGACACUAUUUUCAGGGUUAUUACACUUUUUAUUAAAAUUCUCAUAUUCUCUAUC
rnacentral:lncRNA from 1 species